GCAUUCUGUAUUUUUUGUUUUUUCCCUGAACAAGUUAUUUCCUUCUAUUUACAGAUUCUUCAAAAGCUGUGAACUAACUUUUUUUGUUUUGAUGUUGUGAUUUUUUUUAAUUCUUUCUUUCUAGCUAUGCCAAUUGAUAAAUCUUGGAUUAGCAAAACGCAAAAUACACCUGAAUAUGCAUGUGGGCUAAAAAGAUUUUUGAAUUUUGCUUUUGAACAUGGUUCAUUCGAUGGACGCGUAAUUAAGUGUCCAUGUCCGAAAUGCGGUUUUAAUAAGUGAAAAAGAAGAAAUGUAGUUGAAGAGCACCUGACUUGUAAGCUUUUUCCAAAAAAUUACAAAGUUUGGUAUUCACACGGUGAAGAAUCAAAUGCAACUAUGCCACAAACGUUUCAGAGCACACAUGUCAUAGAAAAAACUCUGCAUCCCCAAGGUCCAAUGGUAACCAUGAUUAACGAUGUAUUUGGAUUCAUAGAAAAUAAUGUAAAUGAGCCUGGUGUGUCUUGUGAGCCUAUUAAUAGAGAAGAAACAUUUAAUGAAGAGCAUAUUGAUGGGCAUAAUGAAGAAUAUGCAAAGUUCUAUGAACUGGUCGAAGAUGGCAACCAAUCAUUAUACGAAGGGUGCGCGAAGUAUUCCAAAUUGUCCUUUCUAGUCAAAUUGUAUCAUAUCAAGUAUUUGUGCCGAAUGACUGACAAAACGAUGAGUAUGAUAUUAGAAUUAUUAAAAGAUGCCUUUGAAGAUGUCAAGAUUCUUGUUUCUUUUUAUGAGGCCAAGAAAACCAUCAACAAACUUGGCCUUAAUUAUACCAAGAUACAUGCUUGCCCAAAUGAUUGUAUGUUAUAUUUUGGGAAAGAUGAAGGCUUACAAGAAUGCAAAAAAUGCAAGACAUCUAGGUAGAAGGAUAAUAAAAAGAAGCAGCCCGCAAAGAUUUUGCGCUACUUUCCACUAAAGUCAAGGUUACAUAGAUUGUUCAUGUGCUCUAAAACUGAUGAGUCUAUGAGAUGGCAUUCUUCAACGGGUAACCAAGAUGGAUUGAUGAGGCAUCCAAGGGAUUCUCAGACUUGAAAAGCAUUUGACUUGUUUCAUCCUGAAUUUGCUGCAGAUCCUCGAAAUCUACGACUAGGCCUAGCUAGUGACGGUUUCAAUCCUUUUAGAGCAAUGGUAACAAACUAUAGUAUUUGUCCUAUGGUUCUUAUUCCAUACAAUCGUCCUCAUUGGGAUUGUAUGAAACAAACUAUAUUCAUUCUUUCAAUGAUCAUUCCAGGAAAACAAAUGCCCGGCAAUGACAUAGACGUGUACUUACAACCUCUUAUCCACGAGUUGAGAGUAUUGUGGUACGAUGGAGUGCAGGCAUUAAACUCUUCAAAGAAUGAAAUAUUUAAAAUGUGAGUAGCCUUGGUGUGGACAAUCAGUGAUUUUUUUGGGCUUGGUACCUUAUCUGGAUGGAACACAUACACUUAGUUUGCUUGUCCCACGUGUAACUUUGAUACAGACUCUUGCAAGUUGAAGCAUAGUAGAAAGUGGUAUUUUAUGGGUCAUCGUCGUUUUCUUGAUAGCGACAAUCGAUUUAGAUUGCAGCGUGUCUGUUUUAAUGAAAAACUUGAGCAACGGGAGCCACCAAUAGUAUUAUCAGGGUCAAACAUCUUGAAACAAAUGGAGGGAAUCAAUUCCAAUUUUGGGAAAGUAACUGAGUCGAAUGCUAAAGGUAAAAGAACUCGAGGAAAAACUACCGCUGAAGAUAGAUCGAAACAGUGGAGAAAGAGAAGCAUAUUUUUUUAUCUUCCAGUGAGGCGGACCUUGGAAAGUUUUAACAUAAGCAGGAGGGAUUCACAGAUCUUCCAGAUGCAAGACCCACCCGUCGAGCAGGGACGAAAGUUGGCCUUAGUGAUCCGACGGUGCCGAGUGGAAGGGCCGUCGCUCAACGGAUAAAAGUUACUCUAGGGAUAACAGGCUGAUCUUUCCCAAGAGCUCACAUCGACGGGAAGGUUUGGCACCUCGAUGUCGGCUCUUCGCCACCUGGGGCUGUAGUAUGUUCUAAGGGUUGGGCUGUUCGGCCAUUAGAGCGGUACGUGAGCUGGGUUCAGAACGUCGUAAGAUAAUUCGGUCCAUAUCCGGUUCUAGCACCAUGCCAAAUGUGUCCGAAGAAGAAGAGCAAAGCAAACGAAGCAUGCCCAAAAGUAAACCAACCCCUUGGACUGCUACGAAAAACACCAUCGGAUUUCAAAGUAGCACGAUCUAAUUCAAAAAUUUCACCCAAUUGAGCACGUCUAGCAUAUUUUUUCACAGUAGCAGGGUAUCAAACUGAAUAUUCAGGUAUCAAAUUUGGUUUAUUUUACAGUGCGAUUUUUCUUGAUACCUAACAUAAUGCAUGAAAGGAUCCUUGAAUAACCAUAGGGUAACAUGAAAAUCCUUAGCAGAGGCUUCUACAAGACGUUCUAUUUUUCCAUAGAAAUAUAUUCGUUCAAGAAGAGCCUCAUUGCCCGGUAUGGCUUGAUAGUGGUAUAAGGAUUUCCCUCUAGGUGGUCCGCUUACUGUGCUAUUUCAAUGCUUCGGGGUAGAAGAUGUCGAAGGAACAAAGAGGACGAAGGUGGAAUCUAACUUAUUGCGUCAUAAUCUAGACCUUAUGCACAUUGAGAAGAAUGUGUGUGAGAAUGUGAUAUAUACUUUGCUCAAUGAUACUGAAAAGUCAAAAAACAAUCUUAAAGCUCGGAAUGAUCUUAGAGAAAUAGGUAUAAGGAAAGAACUUUGGGAAGACAAGAAUGAAAGCUAUCGUCCAGCCUUGUUCACUCUUUUAAAUUCAAAGAAAAGUGGAUUUAAGAUAGACAUAUUUUUGCGAACUUUAAAAGAUGUCAAAAUGCUUGAUGGAUACGCUAGCAACAUUUCAAGAUGUGUCGACCUGAAACAACAAAAGCUCAAGUCAAUAAAGAGUCAUGAUUUUUACAUUCUCAUGCAACACUUGUUACCAAUUGCCAUACGUAAUGUUUUACCUGACAAGGUGGCUGCAGUAUUAAUAGAGUUGAGUUCAUUCUUCCGUUAACUCUGUGCCAAAAGCUUAAGCCCCUUAGACCUUGACAUGCUCCAGUCUCGAUAUUUUCUCACCAUGAAUCACCUGAAAAUGUUAUUCCCUCCUACAUUCUUUACAAUCAUGGUUCAUUUAACUUAUCAUCUAGCUGGUGAAGCAAAACUUGAGGGACCUCAACAGUGUCGGUGGAUGGAUCCUAUCGAGAGGUAUUUGGGACAUUUCAAAUCCUAUGUGUGAAACACGUCACAACCAGAAGGUUCUAUAGCUGAAGGAUAUUUAGCUGAAGAGGCUCUUACUUUUUGUUCCCAGUAUAUUGAAGGGAUUGAGACAAGAUUUAAUAUGCCACGCCGUGUUGACGAUUUUCCGAAGGAUAGAGGCUCGACGAAUUCAUCUAGUAUUUUUCCACCAGUUGGUAAAGGACUAGGAGCUGUAACAUUUGAGUUGUCCCCUAUGGCAAAACGUCAAGCACAUCGAUAUGUGUUACUAAAUUGUCCACGAGUCAUGCCAUUCAUUAAUGAAUUUAAAGUUUAUUUACAGAGGCGGUGGAAGGGUCGAAAGCCUUCAACCACAGAGAUAGAGAAGAUAGUUAAUAAAGACUUCAUUGAAUGGUUUCCUCGAAAGAUGAACAUCAAGUGAUAAAAUCUAUUAGGUUGAAGGUUCAGGAUGUCCAUAACUUGGAGAAUGAAUUGCGUAUAAUUGUAGAAUGUGAAGUUUGCUCAACCUAUUGGAAAAUCAGCCGGCCUUCUUGCAGGAUUUUUGGGGCAGCUUGCUACAAAUCCUCGAUAUUUCCCUAUUAGCUUCGAGAGUUGGGAAUCCAUGCCUAAACCUUUUGUGUCUCGAUUUUUCUUUACGAGUGAUCAGCAAAAGGUACGUAAAAGGUUAUAAUUCGCUUAACAAAAAGUGGAAGGAAUUCAGGCUUAAACUAUGACAUGAGGCUGAGGAUCCAUUAUUGAGUAAAGAAGAUAUCAUCAAGAAUGCUCCAGAAGGCAUUCCUAUGGAUCAAUGGGCAUUGUAUGUUAAUUAUCGUUCAAAAGAGGAAACAAAGGCGCUUUGCUUGAGAAAUCGACGGAUUCGAGAACAACAAAUACUUCCUCAUACUAGUGGUGCUAUGAGUUUGGCUAGAAGAAGGGCUUUGAUGGUAGUUUAAUACGACAUACUUACUGUCGCUUUAAUGUGACAAGAGUUAUUUAGUUUAAUUUUACUUUUUAAACUUUCAGAAGAAAUAGGGAAAAGAAGUUGAUCGCGGCAAAGUAUGAACUAAGACUCAUAAGAGGAAAGAUGGGAGUUAUGUGAACGAUCAAGCUAGGGAUAUUGGGGCAAGUGUUGACAUGAUUACUAUUGUUUCAUUUGAUAGAUUUAAUCAGUUUUAUUAUGU